rnacentral:rRNA from 1 species
AUUGAACGCUGGCGGCAGGCCUAACACAUGCAAGUCGAGCGGAUGAAGGGAGCUUGCUCCUGGAUUCAGCGGCGGACGGGUGAGUAAUGCCUAGGAAUCUGCCUGGUAGUGGGGGAUAACGUCCGGAAACGGGCGCUAAUACCGCAUACGUCCUGAGGGAGAAAGUGGGGGAUCUUGGGACUUCAGCCUUUAGAUUGAGCCUAGGUCGGAUUAGCUAGUUGGUGGGGUAAAGGCCUACCAAGGCGACGAUCCGUAACUGGUCUGAGAGGAUGAUCAGUCACACUGGAACUGAGACACGGUCCAGACUCCUACGGGAGGCAGCAGUGGGGAAUAUUGGACAAUGGGCGAAAGCCUGAUCCAGCCAUGCCGCGUGUGUGAAGAAGGUCUUCGGAUUGUAAAGCACUUUAAGUUGGGAGGAAGGGCAGUAAGUUAAUACCUUGCUGUUUUGACGUUACCAACAGAAUAAGCACCGGCUAACUUCGUG